UGAAUUUAAGCAUAUCACUAAGCGGAGGAAAAGAAACUAACCAGGAUUCCCUUAGUAACGGCGAGUGAACAGGGAAAAGCCCAGCACCGAAGCCUGUGGCCGUUUGGUCUCUAGGCAAUGUGGUGUUCAGGUCAGCUCGCAGAGAUACUGCUCCACCCUAAGUCCUGUAAUGAGUAAGGUUACUGGAGCGGCCCACAGAGGGUGAAAGGCCCGUGGGGGUGGAGAUGCAGAUGAGUCAGUGUCUCUAUGAGUGGACCUUGGAGUCGGGUUGUUUGUGAAUGCAGCCCAAAGUGGGUGGUAAACUCCAUCCAAGGCUAAAUACUGGCACGAGUCCGAUAGCGAACAAGUACCGUGAGGGAAAGUUGAAAAGUACUUUGAAGAGAGAGUAAACAGUGCGUGAAACCGCUCAAAGGUAAACGGGUGGAGUUGAACUGCAAGCUCCGGGAAUUCAACUGGUGAGUGUGAUGUGAGCUUGGCACAUAGUUGUACAUCUGGGUCUGCUUAGCUGCAGGUCUCCGCCUCUGGUGGGGAUGCGCGAAUCACUUAUCAUGUGUUGUGCGCCCGGGCUGUGUCGAACUGGCUCGCCAGUGCACUUUCUCGGAGUAGUCACCACGACCGGCGUUGCUGCCUUGCUGUUGCGGUUAAACCGGCCUUGUAGGGUCCCUGUGGCCUUGCUUGGUCGGGAUGGCAGGUAGCCCGUUGUGUACUUUUGUGCGCCUCGGGUGUAAUAGCUGACUGCAUCGGUUUUGUGCGGUACGUCGGAGACGGCGGCUUGUUGUGCGUGCGUGCGUACCUUGUGCGCUGGCGGCGCUGGGUCCGGUUGCCAUGUUGCUUGUGAAUGCAGGCCUGGUGAUGGCUCGGUGUUGUUCGGUGUGCGGAUGCGUGUGUGGCACUUUAAAGGGCCAAUAGUCUGUGGUGUAGUGGUAGACUAUCCACCUGACCCGUCUUGAAACACGGACCAAGGAGAGUAACAUGUGC
rnacentral:rRNA from 1 species